UAUUGUAGCUCUGGAUACAAGUUCAAAGCCAAAAGGUGUUUGAGGAAAUAAAAAUGAGUAGCAGAAGGGCUAAUGGAUCGAAACAUCCAUCUGUAGUUGAAAAGAUACACGGUCAACCUUACCUCUUCACGAAGAAUUUUUCUUCUCAAUCCUUCACAUCAGGGAUCCCAUUUCACUGCAGUGGAAGCCCAUAUUUGAAUGGAGGACAGCAGAGUCCUUUGCUGCCAGCUUUUCAAAUGGCUUCAUCAGUUGUGAUUCCUCCACCAGUUUUUGUAGGACAACCAACAGAAAAAUGGAAUAAUCAUAUUCUACCUCAAUUUGUAGCAGGAUUUUUAAAUAUAGCUAACAUGACAGCAGCUGCUCCGAUUAGGCGAGUAAACUUCUUGAUCCAGAACCAGGAUGAGAUGAUUAAAUCAGGUCGGCUUUUGGAGCCUUACAAAGGAAAACUGAACUGCUUUACCAGAGUAAUCAAGAAUGAAGGUAUCAUUUCUCUGUGGAGAGGCAACGGCGUACAUGUCAUUGGAUAUGUCUAUAAAAAGGUCCUGAGUCGUGCUUUUGAGAGCCAUGUUGAGAGUAUUCGGGGAUAUUAUAAGAUAAACAAAGAUGGUUUCUGGAAAUGGUUUGCAGGUGUCUCUUUGGCAGAGGGUCUUGCCGGUGCUACAUAUAGUUUUUUUACACAUCCAUUGUAUUAUGCCCAGACACGCCUGACCAAUGAUAUCAAGCCUUCCAGAGAAAGCAAAAGGCAGUUCAAUGGUCUAGUUGAUGUCUGCAAGAAAACCCUCAGAUCGGAUGGCAUUGCUGGAAUUUACCGUGGGUAUAAUGUUUCAGUUCUUGAAAUAAUUUUGCAUACCUGGGCCUUUAUUGGGAUUACUAAGGCCACGAACGAAGGGCUGUUUCUGGGAUUGCUUGGGUUGCAGAAUGAUUGGGUGGCGGAGCAUUUACUAUUUGAAGGGACUGUUCUUGCUGCUAGCUUGGCUACUUACCCAAUGAAUACUAUCUGCAGAAGGAUGAUGAUGACCUGCGGUGAAGGUGUCAAGUACAAGAGUUCACUGGAUGCAUACUCUCAAAUCCUGAAAAGGGAGGGGUUUGCAUCCCUCUAUAAGGGUGUAGAUGCAUAUAUUCUUCUACAUACUGUCAGAUUUGGUCUUAUGGUGGUCACUUACUGUGUGUUAAAAUGGCUUGCUUCCUCGAAGAAGGAUCGAUCUGGUGGUGGCGAUCAAUCUUCUUCAACAAUGAUUGACAUAAAAUGGAAAACCAGUGCAGGGUGAUUCCUUGAAUCUGGAGCUUAGCUUAUCAUAUGAUGGACUAAAGGGCAGGUUGUGGUAUUGUAGCUCUGGAUACAAAUACAAAGCUAAAAAGUGUUUGAGGGUAAUCAAGAAUGAAGGUAUCAUUUCUCUGUGGAGAGGCAACGGCGUAGAUGUCAUUAGAUAUGUC